AACACCAUAAAAUGACUUAAUUGCUCUCCCAUAUAAAUUGGGUUACCCAGAAAAUUGCAACCCUCAUUUUGAUUUUGUAGGAAGAGAAACAAAGAGGAGAGAGAUAGAGGAAACCUCUCUUGCCUCCCCCACCUUCUUGUGCUCCACUGGGCACAGAGCGAUGGUUAUGUUCUUGGAUUCAAUGGAUUAUCAUAUGCUAUCAGAGUUAACGAUGCUUUCAACUUCUUGAGAAAGAUGAGCAAAAAAGGUUUAGUUUUAGUGGCUACUGUUGUAAGUUUCAAUGCUCAUAUUGAUGGCUUUUGUAAGGCUUCUGAGCUUGACGAAUCACAUUUAUUAUUGUACAAGAUGAAUUUGUUAUUUAGGUUAUGUUGACAAUUUUUCACAAUUUUAUGGAAACAUUGUUGACAAUUUGAAUGCUUUAAUCUCUGUUGAAGGCUCUUGUGAAAGAUAAAUUGAAGAAACUUGGUAUAAUAUGUAUCCAAAUGAAUGCUUUCGUUUA